rnacentral:rRNA from 1 species
CCUACGGGAGGCAGCAGUAGGGAAUAUUGGGCAAUGGGCGGAAGCCUGACCCAGCCACGCCGCGUGCAGGAAGACGGCCCUCUGGGUUGUAAACUGCUUUUGACUGGGAAGAAAGAAGCCCAUGCGUGGGAAGUUGACGGUACCAGUCGAAUAAGCCACGGCUAACUACGUGCCAGCAGCCGCGGUAAUACGUAGGUGGCAAGCGUUAUCCGGAUUUAUUGGGUUUAAAGGGUGCGUAGGCGGUUUAAUAAGUCAGUGGUUAAAGGUAGCAGCUUAACUGUUUUACAUGCCACUGAUACUGUUGAACUUGAGUUGACAGAAGGCAGAUAGAAUUUCUGGUGUAGCGGUGAAAUGCUUAGAUACCAGAAGGAAUACCGAUUGCGAAGGCAGUCUGCUGCAGUCACACUGACGCUGAGGCACGAAAGUGCGGGGAUCAAACAGGAUUAGAUACCCUGGUAGUCCGCACAGUAACGAUAGAUACUAGUAUAGUUGGUCGGAGAGCGACGUGUCCGAACGGGAAACCGGAACGUAAGUAAUACCACCGUACGGGGUAGGUACGGCCGGCCGACGGUACGGAAACGUUAAACGGUAAGUUAGUACGGCGUGAGACGUACGCCGACGGACGACGACGAGGGAGGAGG